rnacentral:rRNA from 1 species
UGGGGAAUAUUGCGCAAUGGGGGGAACCCUGACGCAGCCAUGCCGCGUGAAUGAAGAAGGCCUUCGGGUUGUAAAGUUCUUUCGGUAUUGAGGAAGGUUGAUGUGUUAAUAGUACAUCAAAUUGACGUUAAAUACAGAAGAAGCACCGGCUAACUCCGUGCCAGCAGCCGCGGUAAUACGGAGGGUGCGAGCGUUAAUCGGAAUAACUGGGCGUAAAGGGCACGCAGGCGGUUAUUUAAGUGAGGUGUGAAAGCCCCGGGCUUAACCUGGGAAUAGCAUUUCAGACUGGGUAACUAGAGUACUUUAGGGAGGGGUAGAAUUCCACGUGUAGCGGUGAAAUGCGUAGAGAUGUGGAGGAAUACCGAAGGCGAAGGCAGCCCCUUGGGAAUGUACUGACGCUCAUGUGCGAAAGCGUGGGGAGCAAACAGGAUUAGAUACUCUGGUAGUCCACGCUGUAAACGCUGUCGAUUUGGGGGUUGGGGUUUAACUCUGGCGCCCGUAGCUAACGUGAUAAAUCGACCGCCUGGGGAGUACGGCCGCAAGGUUA